rnacentral:rRNA from 1 species
UACGUAGGGUGCAAGCGUUAAUCGGAAUUACUGGGCGUAAAGCGUGCGCAGGCGGUUUUGUAAGUCUGCUGUGAAAUCCCCGAGCUCAACUUGGGAAUUGCAGUGGAUACUGGCAAGCUAGAGUAUGGUAGAGGAAGGUGGAAUUCCCGGUGUAGCAGUGAAAUGCGUAGAGAUCGGGAGGAACACCAGUGGCGAAGGCGGCCUUCUGGACCAAUACUGACGCUCAUGCACGAAAGCGUGGGGAGCAAACAGG